rnacentral:rRNA from 1 species
GACGAACGCUGGCGGCGUGCCUAAUACAUGCAAGUUGAGCGCUGAAGGUUGGUACUUGUACCAACUGGAUGAGCAGCGAACGGGUGAGUAACGCGUGGGGAAUCUGCCUUUGAGCGGGGGACAACAUUUGGAAACGAAUGCUAAUACCGCAUAAAAACUUUAAACACAAGUUUUAAGUUUGAAAGAUGCAAUUGCAUCACUCAAAGAUGAUCCCGCGUUGUAUUAGCUAGUUGGUGAGGUAAAGGCUCACCAAGGCGAUGAUACAUAGCCGAACUGAGAGGGUGAUCCGCCAAAAUUGGACUGAGACACGGCCCAAACUCCUUCGGGAGGCAGCAGGAGGGAAUCUUCGGCAAUGGACGAAAGUCUUGCCGGGCAACGCCGCGUGAGUGAAGAAGGGUUUCGGAUCGUAAAACUCUGUUGGUAGAGAAGAACGUUGGUGAGAGUGGAAAGCGCAUCAAGUGACGGUAACUACCCAGAAAGGGACGGCUAACUACGUG